CAAGAAUGGCUACAGGUUUAUCAGCAACGUCCUCCAAAUUUGCGAAUCACGUGUGAUCUCCAAAGCAGAAGUUGACAACGAGAACUGAGUCAACGGAUCGCGUCACCCAUAAAUCAUCAUUUUCACGUUAAGAAAUCCUAGGACUGCGGUCACGUAAUAAAACUCUAGGCAGUGUAACAGGAGCAAGCAGUUACAUCGAACGAUUUACAAAAUAACAUUGGCAUCUGGAUCACAGAAAUACCCGGUUAUAUAGAGAGAACCAGCUCUGGAUACAAAAAAAUGUAUAUAUCAACUUCUGAAUAUUAUUUUCUUCUCUCGUUGGUUAUUGUCCCAGUGUAUUUAUUUUUUAAGCUUUGGUCAUGGCUUGGUUGGGAGUUAUUUGUUAAUAAUUAAAUAGUAUAUAUUAUAACUUUGUAUGCUUUGAACAUUUGUUAUUCUCAAAUUUGUCUAUAUCUGUUAGACUAUUUCACUUUGUCUCUUCGAGUUCUUUAAGUUAAUUGUUGUGGGUUAAAAUUUUCUUUUUGAUAAUCAUUAAUUAAAAACUAUAUCACCCUUA